CGUGACACCAAACCAUCUUAUCUUUCACAAUCAAACCGUAGGAAGAGAAACAUGGCUGUUGCAUACUCACAUCUUACAAGUGGAAACGCUACCAUUAAACACAAAAGGCUCGCCCUUGAAGAUAACCUACAAAACAUUCAGAUCAUUGACAUUCAUCAUUGCUAAAGAUCGUGAAUGCCAAGACAUCUAUGAUACUCUGGUGCACUUCUCUAAACCAAAUUGAUAUGAUGAGAUAUAUGCAUUUCACUACUCUCUACAAGAGAAGAAAUUUAGCCGCGAGAACGGCCGGUCUAUUUUCAAUCACGAUAAAGAGUUUGGUCGAAUGGGCAUUCCCAACGACUACUGGCAUUACAGUCCAUUGAAUGAGAACUACAAGCUUUGUCAGACGUAUCCUGAGUGGCUGUAUGUGCCGAUUGGCGUGAGUGAAGAAGUCGUGAAUGGCAGUGCUAAGUUUAGAGUGCAGAGAGUGUACCAGCAUUGUCAUAUUACCACCAAGAGACAUAGGUGAAACUUUGAUAAGGUGAUAAAGGGAGGAAGUUAUUCUAAUGUGGCUGCCAUUGUCUAGUCGAGAACUAACUCAGCUGCAGGUAAGUACACUAAAAGAGAUUCAAACUGUCAAUCUGCAUGUAAAAAUAAAUAUUUAAUAUUUGUGGUCAACAAUUGGUCUA